rnacentral:rRNA from 1 species
UACGGGGGGGGCAAGCGUUGUUCGGAAUUACUGGGCGUAAAGGGCGCGUAGGUGGCCAACUAAGUCAGACGUGAAAUCCCUCGGCUUAACCGGGGAACUGCGUCUGAUACUGGAUGGCUUGAGUUUGGGAGAGGGACGCGGAAUUCCAGGUGUAGCGGUGAAAUGCGUAGAUAUCUGGAGGAACACCGGUGGCGAAGGCGGCGUCCUGGACCAAA